GCCCCUCACUUACACUGAGAAGAUGUCUGUUAAACCCGGAUCAUAUUGAG
rnacentral:tRNA from 1 species